ACUACAGUAACCACAGAGGGUUUAGCCAAUCAGGGUUCUGGUUAAAAGUAGUGCACUACUACAGUAACCACAGAGGGUUAGCCAAUCAGGGCUCUGGUUAAAAGUAGUGCACUACUACAGUAACCACAGAGGGUUUAGCCAAUCAGGGUUCUGGUUAAAAGUAGUGCACUAUAUAGGGAAUAGUGCUCCAUUUGGUGAGUAGUUCAUCUGGUUGUAGGUAGUGCACUACAUAGGGAAUAGUGCUCCAUUUGGUGAGUAGUUCAUCUGGUUGUAGGUAGUGCACUACAUAGGGAAUAGGGCUCCAUUUGGUGAGUAGUUCAUCUGGUUGUAGGUAGUGCACUACAUAGGGAAUAGUGCUCCAUUUGGUGAGUAGUUCAUCUGGUUGUAGGUAGUGCACUACAUAGGGAAUAGUGCUCCAUUUGGUGAGUAGUUCAUCUGGUUGUAGGUAGUGCACUACAUAGGGAAUAGUGCUCCAUUUGGUGAGUAGUUCAUCUGGUUGUAGGUAGUGCACUACAUAGGGAAUAGUGCUCCAUUUGGUGAGUAGUUCAUCUGGUUGUAGGUAGUGCACUACAUAGGGAAUAGUGCUCCAUUUGGUGAGUAGUUCAUCUGGUUGUAGGUAGUGUAAAUACAAUAUAUAUAAUGUCCUUUUUUCCCCACAGCAGAAGAAUGGAUGUUUAAAAAAAAACUUGCAUCUUGAGCUGCUUUUCUAUUUAAUAUAUAUUUAAAAUGUUGUGCUUGUGUCUUUCUGUUGAUUUGUUGUCUUCUAUGUGGACAGGGACAGGAAAGAGACCUUUUUAUUUGGUUUGUUAAAUACGUCUUUUCA